rnacentral:rRNA from 1 species
GUCGCUACUACCGAUUGAAUGGCUCAGUGAGGCCUUCGGACUGGCCCAGGGAGGUCGGCAACGACCACCCAGGGCCGGAAAGUUGGUCAAACUCGGUCAUUUAGAGGAAGUAA